rnacentral:rRNA from 1 species
CUACCAUGCAGUCGAGCGGUAGCACAGAGAGCUUGCUCUCGGGUGACGAGCGGCGGACGGSUGAGUAAUGUCUGGGAAACUGCCUGAUGGAGGGGGAUAACUACUGGAAACGGUAGCUAAUACCGCAUAACGUCGCAAGACCAAAGUGGGGGACCUUCGGGCCUCAUGCCAUCAGAUGUGCCCAGAUGGGAUUAGCUAGUAGGUGGGGUAACGGCUCACCUAGGCGACGAUCCCUAGCUGGUCUGAGAGGAUGACCAGCCACACUGGAACUGAGACACGGUCCAGACUCCUACGGGAGGCAGCAGUGGGGAAUAUUGCACAAUGGGCGCAAGCCUGAUGCAGCCAUGCCGCGUGUGUGAAGAAGGCCUUCGGGUUGUAAAGCACUUUCAGCGGGGAGGAAGGCGAUAAGGUUAAUAACCUYGKCGAUUGACGUUACCCGCAGAAGAAGCACCGGCUAACUCCGUG